CCUACGGGUGGCAGCAGUGGGGAAUAUUGCACAAUGGGGGAAACCCUGAUGCAGCAACGCCGCGUGGGUGAAGAAGUACUCCGGUAUGUAAAGCCCUGUCAGCAGGGAAGAAAAUGACGGUACCUGACCAAGAAGCCCCGGCUAACUACGUGCCAGCAGCCGCGGUAAUACGUAGGGGGCAAGCGUUAUCCGGAUUUACUGGGUGUAAAGGGAGCGUAGACGGCAAGGCAAGUCUGGAGUGAAAGCCCGGGGCCCAACCACGGGACUGCUUUGGAAACUGUGUUGCUGGAGUGCAGGAGGGGUAAGCGGAAUUCCUAGUGUAGCGGUGAAAUGCGUAGAUAUUAGGAGGAACACCGGUGGCGAAGGCGGCUUACUGGACUGUAACUGACGUUGAGGCUCGAAGGCGUGGGGAGCAAACAGGAUUAGAUACCCGAGUAGUC
rnacentral:rRNA from 1 species